rnacentral:lncRNA from 1 species
AGGUUAUCUGACCUGCCAUCUCUGCCUGCUUGUCUGUCUGCCCACUGAGUGAGGCCCCAGGCCCGUGCAGCUGGGGUGAAGUCUUGGUUUUUAUCUCAAUGCUUUCACUCUGGGCCUUCAAUCCUUCUAAGGCAAAGGCCUUAACAUAGGCUUUCGAGAGACCUCUUCUCUGCCUCUUCUCUUUGCCCAGUUACCCCUUCCAUGUCCUCUCCCACUUGAGUGUACUUCUUCCAGAAGGUCUCUGCUGAUAUCCGCCCUGCCCCUCUCCCUGGGUCAGCACCAAGGGAGGACUUACUACCCAAAAUGUUGGGAGGUACCUACCCAAAAUUCCCCUACAUCCCCCUGCAGUGACCCUGAGUCCCUCCUCAACUCUACCCCUCCCAGAAACU